GUUUAAUUGGCUCAUGGUUCUAAAGGCUGUACAGGAAGCAUGAUGCUGGUAUCUAUUCGGCUUCUGGAGAGGCCUUAGGAAACUUUCAAUGAUGGUGGAAGGUGAAAGCGUAGCAGGCACGUCUUUGCUUUUUUUUUUUUUUUUUUUUGAGAUGGAGUCUCGCUCUUUCGCCCAGGCGGAAGUGCAGUGGCGCGAUCUUGGCUCACCGCAAGCUCCGCCUCCCAGGUUCACGCCAUUCUCCUGCCUCAGCCUCCCGAGUAGCUGGGACUACAGGCGCCCGCCACCGUGCCUGGCUAAUUUUUUGUAUUUUUAGUAGAGACGGGGUUUCACCGUGUUAGCCACGAUGGUCUCGAUCUCCUGACCUCGUGAUCCGCCCACCUCAGCCUCCCAAAGUGCUGGGAUUACAGGCGUGAGCCACCGCGCCCGGCCACAGGCAUGUCUUACGUGGCUGGAGCAGGAGGAAGUGUGGGGGGAGGUGCCACACACUUUUAAACAACCAGAUGUCAUGCAAACUCUCUCACAAGAACAGCGCUAAGGGGAUAGUGCUAAACCAUUAAUGAGAAACCGCCCCAUGAUCCAAUCACUUUCCACCAGGUCCUACCUCCAACACUGGGGAUUCCAAUUCAACAUGAGAUUUGGGCGGGGACACAGAUUCAAACCAUAUUGUUCCACCUCUGGUCUCUCCCAAAUCUCAUGUCCUUCUCAUAUUUCAAAAUACUACCGGCUGCGUGCAGUGGUUCACGCCUGUAAUCCCAGCACUUUGGGUGGCCGAGGCAGGCAGAUCAGAAGGUCAGGAGAUCGAGACCAUCCUGGCCAACAAGGUGAAACCUCAUCUCUACAAAAAUACAAAAAAUUAGCCAGGCAUGGUGAUGGAGGCCUGUAGUCCCAGCUACUGGGGAGGCUGAGGCAGGGGAAUCAUCUGAACCCAGGAGGCAGAGAUUGCAGUGAGCUGCGAUCGCACCACUGCACUCCAGCCUGGUGACAGAGGGAGACUCUGUCUCAAAAAACAAACAAACAAACAAACAAACAAACAAACAAACAAACUACCAUGCCUUCUCAACAGUCCUGCAAAUAUUUAACUCAUUCCAGCAUUAACUCAAAAGUCCACAGUCCAAAGUCUUAUCUGAGACAAGGCUAGUCCCUUCUGCCUAUGACCCUGUAAAAUAAGAAACAAGUUUGUUACUUCCAAGAUACAAUGGGGGUAUAGGCAUUGGAUCAACAUUCCCAUUCUAAAAGGAAGAAAUUGGCCAAAAGAAAGGGGCUACAAGCCUACACAAGUCCAAAACCAAGCAGAGCAGUCAUUAAAUCUUAAAGCUCCAAAAUAACUUCCUUUGACCUCCUAUCCCACAUCAAGGGCGUGCUGGUACAAGGGGUGGGCUCCCAAAGCCUUGGGCAGCACCACACUUGUGGCUUUCCAGGGUUUAGCACCUGUAGAUGCUCUCAAGGGCUGGCCUUGAGUACUUGUAGCUUUUUCAGGCUGAGAGUGCAAGCUGCCAGUGGAUCUACCAUUAUGAUGUCAGGAGGACAGUGGUUCUCUUCUCAUAGCUCCACUAGGAAGUCCUCCAGUGGGACUCUGUGUGGGGGCUCCAACCCCACAUUUCCCCUCCACACUGCCCUGGUAGAGAUUCUCCAUGAGGGUUCCACUCGUGCAGCAGGCUUCUGCGUGGACAUCCAGACUUUUCCAUGAAUCUUCCUAAAUCUAGGUGAAGGUUUCCAAGCUUCAACUCUUGCACUUUGCACUGCAAUGGUAGUGCAGGUCCACUGAACCAUCAAAGACCAGUUGCAGAAGGUAGAAGUUAUAAUCAAGAUCAUCAGAACUGGCAUCUGGUGAGAUCUCUCUCCUUGGGUUGUAAGUGACCACCUUCUCUAUGUCCUUCCAUGGACUUUCCUCUGUGCUUUUGUGGUA
rnacentral:lncRNA from 10 species